GACGUAGGGGGCGAGCGUUGUCCGGAAUUACUGGGCGUAAAGAGCACGUAGGCGGGAACUUAAGUCAGGUGUGAAAGACCGUGGCUCAACCACGGGUAUGCAUUUGAAACUGGGUUUCUUGAGGGCAGGAGAGGAAAGCAGAAUUCCUGGUGUAGCGGUGAAAUGCGUAGAAAUCAGGAGGAAUACCAGUGGCGAAGGCGGCUUUCUGGACUGACCCUGACGCUGAGGUGCGAAAGCGUGGGUAGCAAACAGGAUUAGAUACCCCCGUAGUCCCUGAG
rnacentral:rRNA from 1 species